rnacentral:rRNA from 1 species
GCAUAUCAAUAAGCGGAGGAAAAGAAACCAACAGGGAUUGCCUUAGUAACGGCGAGUGAAGCGGCAAAAGCUCAAAUUUGAAAUCUGGCACCUUCGGUGUCCGAGUUGUA